UACGUAGGGUGCGAGCGUUGUUCGGAUUCACUGGGCGUAAAGGGUGCGUAGGUGGCCAGGUAAGUUUGGUGUGAAAGCUCGGAGCUUAACUCCGAAAUGUCAUUGAAUACUAUCUGGCUAGAGGGUCGGAGGGGAGACUGGAAUUCUCGGUGUAGCAGUGAAAUGCGUAGAUAUCGAGAGGAACACCAGUGGCGAAGGCGAGUCUCUGGACGACUCCUGACACUGAGGCACGAAAGCCGGGGGAGCAAACAGG
rnacentral:rRNA from 1 species